GCUGUCGUCAGCUCGUGUCGUGAGAUGUUGGGUUAAGUCCCGCAACGAGCGCAACCCCUGCCUUUAGUUGCCACCAGAUUAUGCUGAGCACUCUAAAGGGACUGCCGGUGAAAAACCGGAGGAAGGUGGGGAUGACGUCAAGUCCUCAUGGCCUUUAUGUCCAGGGCUACACACGUACUACAAUGGGCGGCACAAUGAGUCGCAAACCCGCGAGGGGGAGCCAAUCUCAAAAAACCGCUCUCAGUUCGGAUUGCAGUCUGAGGGAGAGACUGCAUGAAGCUGGAAUCGCUAGUAAUCGCUGAUCAGCAAGCAGCGGUGAAUACGUUCC
rnacentral:rRNA from 1 species